rnacentral:rRNA from 1 species
GCCUACGGGAGGCAGCAGUAGGGAAUAUUGCGCAAUGGGGGAAACCCUGACGCAGCGACGCCGCGUGAGUGAUGAAGGCCUUAGGGUCGUAAAGCUCUGUUGAAUGGGAAGAAAAAAAUGACGGUACCAUUCGAGAAAGGAUCGGCUAACUUCGUGCCAGCAGCCGCGGUAAGACGAGGGAUCCUAGCGUUGUUCGGAAUCAUUGGGCGUAAAGCGUGUGUAGGCGGCCAUUCAAGUCAGUUGUGAAAGCCCCGGGCUUAACCCGGGAAGUGCUUCUGAUACUGUUGGGCUUGAGUACUGGAGAGGAUAGUAGAAUUCCAGGUGUAGUGGUGAAAUACGUAGAUAUCUGGAGGAAUACCGGUGGCGAAGGCGGCUAUCUGGCCAUGUACUGACGCUGAGACACGAAAGCGUGGGGAGCAAACAGGAUUAGAUACCCCGGUAGUC